AAUAUAUGACGCCGUUGACUUUUUUUAAUGUUUGACCAUUCGUCUUAUUCAAAAAUUUUAUAUAACUUUAUUUUAUUGUGACUUGAUUCAUCAUCAAAUAUUCUUUAAGCAUGACAUAAAUAUUUUCAUAUUCGCACAAAAAUUUUAAAUAAAACGAAUGGUCAAGCGUUGGUCGAAAAGUCAACGACGUCAUUAAU
rnacentral:pre_miRNA from 1 species